AGGAUCAACGCUGGCGGCGUGCAUGAGACAUGCAAGUCGAACGGACCCUUACGGGCUUGCCUGUAAGGGUUAGUGGCGGACGGCUGAGUAACGCGUAGGUGACCUGCCCCGAAGUGGGGAAUAACUGCCCGAAAGGGUGGCUAAUACCGCAUGUGGUGGUGCGUUCGAUCGCACCAGUAAAGCCGCAAGGCGCUUCGGGAGGGGCCUGCGUCCGAUUAGCUCGUUGGUGGGGUAAUGGCCUACCAAGGCGGUGAUCGGUAGCUGGUCUGAGAGGACGGCCAGCCACAGGGGAACUGAGACACGGUCCCCACUCCUACGGGAGGCAGCAGCAAGGAGUUUUCCGCAAUGGGCGAAAGCCUGACGGAGCAACGCCGCGUGGGGGAUGACGCCCUUCGGGGUGUAAACCCCUUUUCUUGGGGACGAAGCAGUGACGGUACCCGAGGAAGAAGGCCCGGCUAACUACGUGCCAGCAGCCGCGGUAAUACGUAGGUGACAAGCGUUGUCCGGAUUUACUGGGCGUAAAGAGCGCGCAGGCGGUCGUUCAAGUCGAGUGUGAAAGCCCCCGGCUCAACUGGGGAGGGUCACUCGAUACUGAUCGACUCGAAGGCAGGAGAGGGUAGUGGAAUUCCCGGUGUAGUGGUGAAAUGCGUAGAUAUCGGGAGGAACACCAGUGGCGAAGGCGACUACCUGGCCUGUUCUUGACGCUGAGGCGCGAAAGCUAGGGGAGCAAACGGGAUUAGAUACCCCGGUAGUCCUAGCCGUAAACGAUGGACACUAGGUGUUGGUGGUAUCAACCCCGCCAGUGCCGAAGCUAACGCAUUAAGUGUCCCGCCUGGGGAGUACGGCCGCAAGGCUA
rnacentral:rRNA from 1 species